rnacentral:pre_miRNA from 1 species
UAAUGAUGAUGAUAAUGAUGAUGAUGAUGAUGAUGAUGAUGACGAGGACGUGCACGACAUAAUCAUCACAUAAUCAUCAUCAUCAUCAUAUUUUUUU